CCCUUGAAAAGAAGACAGUUUGAUUUCUGGGACAAACAUAUUGCUAUGCAAAUACACCCAGAAUAAAUGAAAGAGCCACUCAGACAACCUAUUUUUGCCUCUUCCCUUAGACUUUCAAUUUGACUCCUCUCCAAUGAAAAAGGAUUUAAAGACUGCUUGUGGGGGUCACAGGAGUUCCAGGGGGGGCUGUUAGGGAGCCAGCUCUGCAAGGUUGAUGCAGGGAACAAGUUGGCACAUGCUGUUUUAUGUCACAGAAGAGUGACAACCACCAAGAAGCCUUUCUAUCGAGCCAGUUAUCAACCCGUAAGGAGUGAUGAGCACAGGACACCCCUUACCUGAAGCCAGCAUCUCAACACCCAUGUGCAGAAGUCCAGUUAUCUUCAUCCAGGAGAUGAGAAGACGAGUUGAGGCUACAAGGCAUGUUUCAGCGGGCUCAUCUAUGCAGCACAGCUUGAGCGUAGUGCAGAUCUUCAGAGCAUACAGCUCAAAGGAAGAAGAGGACUCCCUCUUCCACUCUUCCAUGAUAGCCACAUUCAUGCCUGUAAAUGGAGACACUGUUUGUUGCUCACUACUGGGAGACAUUUCAGCACCCUGCCUUUUCCCCUACGACAAAGUCUACACCUGCUGGAGUAGAGGACAGAGCUGUCCGAGGGCUGCAUCUUGCUGUUUCUC
rnacentral:lncRNA from 1 species